GACGAACGCUGGCGGCGUGCCUAAUACAUGCCAGUUGAGCGCUGAAGGUUGGUACUUGUACCAACUGGAUGAGCAGCGAACGGGUGAGUAACGCGUGGGGAAUCUGCCUUUGAGCGGGGGACAACAUUUGGAAACGAAUGCUAAUACCGCAUAAAAACUUUAAACACAAGUUUUAAGUUUGAAAGAUGCAAUUGCAUCACUCAAAGAUGAUCCCGCGUUGUAUUAGCUAGUUGGUGAGGUAAAGGCUCACCAAGGCGAUGAUACAUAGCCGACCUGAGAGGGUGAGCGGCCACAGUGGGACUGAGACACGGCCCAAACUCCUACGGGAGGCAGCAGUAGGGAAUCUUCGGCAAGGGACGAAAGUCUGACCGAGCAACGCCGCGUGAGUGAAGAAGGUUUGCGGAUCGUAAAACUCUGUUGGUAGAGAAGAACGUUGGUGAGAGUGGAAAGCUCAUCAAGUGACGGUAACUACCCAGAAAGGGACGGCUAACUACGUG
rnacentral:rRNA from 1 species